GGCCGGGUAGUUCAGUUGGUUAGAACGCUAGCCUGUCACGCUAGAGGUCGUGGGUUCGACCCCCAUUCCGGUCGCCA
rnacentral:tRNA from 1 species